UCACACAUUCCUUCUCUCCAGAGAUGCUGCCCAUCCCGCUGAGUUACUCCAGCAUUUUGUGUCUACCUUCGAUUUAAACCAGCAUCUGCAGUUCUUUCCUACACAUUGUGGUCGCAGUGCUACUUCAUAUUUUUAAAUUGAGGUGCAGAGCAAGUUCUGAUGACAAUUAUCAAUGGGAAGCAGACAAUGCUAUUACAAGUGAUUGCAAAAUGUUAAUGAAAUGCACAUAUUGAGGGGGGGGAAAGAGGCUCAAUCAGAUUGUAAAAUGUUCAAUUAAAUUUGAGAUAUCAAACAAACAGUUACUUAAAGCAGAAUUUAUUAAUGUAAUAACAAAUGAAAACUUACUAUCUACUUCCACUACAUUAAAAGUUAUCAUCAAAAGUUCAAUUUAGAAUUUGAAAGAAAAAUUAUGAAGAUUUCUUUGAGUGCAAUAAAAGAAGUCAAUGCUCAGCAGGACUUUCUCCCAUAGUUUUCAAUUUAAGAACACCUCAUUCGUGGCACAUUUCUCUUUCCAAAUGAAGCGAUCUGAUUGCCAGGUCUACUCUUUAAUUAAAGCUGCUUCAAUAACAUCUGUCUGAAUAUCCAUUCAGUUGCAUAAAGUCCAAUUUAAAUUUGAUUCGUCAAUCUAUUCCUACUCUAACCCUGAAUUUACAUCAUUAUAUCUGUUGUAUGUGUAAAUCGGUAAGAGCAAUGCUACAUCAAAUCAAUGUUCUGCGGAUAGAAGAUGCGUUCUGUAUUUCUUUUGUUGAAAUAACAAUAGGCAAAGAAAAUCAUUCUUUAAUGUAAGUGUAAGGCACAAUACAGUUAAUAAUUUAAAUUAACCCGUAAGUGAGAAUUUCAAUAUUUUCAGCACAGCAAAUAGAUGAUCAAUCAAUUGCUGAGAAGUAAUAGUUAAAGAUCAGUCAUGAACUCAGUUUUACCCCUAGCAUUAUUAUUAUAAUAUUCAACUUAGUGAAUUUUAAACCCACCUAUUUUUCAUUAAGCUAUUUCUGCUGUUUUGUUUGCCUGCUGUGUAUAAAUGUAUAUCAUAAGUUAUUGUUACUUUAACUGAGAGUAGAUUUGAUUUUUGCUUAAAUCCCCCCCCCCCCCCCCCCCCCCCCCCCCAGGAACAAGUGCAGUGCCAAUUUGCAUUUAAAUAUAAAAGUAAAAUAUGCUGGUGUUCCUCGUUAAUGUCACUUUAUCCAGCCAAAGUACUGUCCCUUGGUGAUCACGUAGGUAUUUUGUGAUGGUGGAAGUAUCAACUGGAACAUAAUUUAUUUAUCUUCUCCUAAUCAUCACAAAAAGAAACUGGAAGGACAGGAGACUAUGUGCCUCUCCUGUGGACAGGGGGGAAAGGAAAAUAUCCCAACAUAAUUCAAAUGUCAUUGAUACCUCGACAUUAUGAAUUACCUCUGAAUUCCUGUAACACCUUCAGUGUACCAUAUCCUGCUACAUGUUUUCUAUUCCACAUCUUCAUCCCUUUUCCAGUAACAUCGUUGCUUUGACCCAAACUCCCAAAGUUACUUCAUUAGUAUGCCGGUUGCAUGCAGAUUUGGAUUGUUGAUUUGACAGUGUUGCAUUUAAUAAAAUGUGAAAAAUUAUAGUAUGGUCAAUAGGGAUAAAUUAAUUGACGUAAAAAAUAUAGUUACAGCCAGAUUUAUUCUUCCACUAGGUGGUUGAACAAUUAGUUGUUGUUCCUUUUCUUCAAAUUAUUUUUUAAAUCAUGUUUUUGCCAACAAAUGGCCAAUGCUGAAAAUAGAGGCAGGAGUCGAGGAUGUUUUGUUGCUUUCACACAGCCUGUUUAUUUGCUUAGAAAUGCAUUUCUUUGACCAAAUGACUAAAUUUAACCUUUUGAGUGCCUAGCAUCUGUACCUUUAGUCAGAUGUGGUGCUAUUUAUCAGGAUCAUAAGUUUGGACCACAGUUCUUGACUUUCUACACAUCUAAGCAUGUUUUUAUAUCUAAUCACUGGUGUUAAUUCAACAGAGAUUUGCCCUGUUAUUAUGACAAAAAAUAAAAUAUGUAAAUAUGUCAUGAAUUUCCAGGAUCAUUAAAAAUAUAAACUCUGUUGCUCCUGAAAAUAAGUUAGAUUUUAUCUUUAGUUAAAAAAUGAAAAACAAGUCAAAUGUUUGCCAGAUUCUUUAUUUGCCAAUGAUAAGAAUAUUAAUAUAAUAAAUAUAUUUAACAUUCUGACAUGGAAUUACACCAGACCUUUUUAACCCUUUGAGCACUCUGAAAUCAUUUUACAGCUUUUCAAUGUGGGAGUUAUUAAAUAAAUUGUUGAAAUUUUUUUUUUAAGAAUUUAAUUAUUUUAUCCUGUAUAUUGUCAGAUUUUUUAGCAUGCAAUUUGCAAAUUUUGUGAAUUUAGAUUAUUCAAUAAUAGCACAAGAGUUGUGUAAUCAGUCCGUAACCUGGAAUUACUUUAAUCAAAUGAUCUCCCUGUUUUCACAUUGAAUUCCCAGUUUGCUUAAUUAAAAUAGUUUUAUCUUUGAAUUAUCAGGAAUAGAUUUUAUUAGGAAAUUUCUGUACUCAACGGGUUAAAAUACUUGGGUAGUAAAACUAACUAUGCCAAUAACUAAUAAAUUGAUCCGUUUAAGAUGAUAAAUGGGGCAAUCUUAGGGAAUUAAUCAGUUAUCAGUAUACAACGUUUGUAGCUACCAGCCAGCCCAAUUAUCCAUAUCGCCCACUAUCUUAACUAAAACUGCAUUUUGUUGUGUGGAAUUGCACUCACAGGAAUAUCUUGUAUUCCACUUUGUCACUUAGAAAAUACUAUAAAAGCAUAAAUAUUUUAAAAUUGUUUUGAAUGUUAUAUUACAUCUAACAGAAGGGAAAGCAAAAUAAGUAGAUUGAAAUAUAAUACUGCAUUUGGAGAUUAGUCGUGUAUUUGUCUUCCAAUUGUGUAAUAAUAUAUUUUUGUUGAGCGGCUACAUAACUAAUUUGGGAAUUUGUAAUUAUCCUAAAUUAAAAUCUGUAAUAUUUAAGACAGUCUUGAAACUGCUAACUUUGUUCAGAUAGAAAAUGUUUACAGAACAAUUGUUUAGUGUGAGCUAUAUAUCUAUGUGUGUACAUAAAAUGAAUUGGUUAUUAAAAUUGGAUGUUUUCUAAAUGUU